CUGACGGUACUUGAUGAAUAAGCCACGGCUAAUUCCGUGCCAGCAGCCGCGGUAAUACGGGAGUGGCAAGCGUUAUCCGGAAUUAUUGGGCGUAAAGCGUCCGCAGGCGGUUUUUUAAGUCUGUUGUCAAAGGGUGGAGCUCAACUGUGUUUGGGCAAUGGAAACUGGAAAGCUUGAGUGUGGUAGGGGUAGAGGGAAUU
rnacentral:rRNA from 1 species